rnacentral:rRNA from 1 species
GACGAACGCUGGCGGCGUGCUUAACACAUGCAAGUCGAACGGAAAGGCCUCUUUCGGGGGGUACUCGAGUGGCGAACGGGUGAGUAACACGUGAGUAACCUGCCCUUGACUUUGGGAUAACUUCAGGAAACUGGGGCUAAUACCGGAUAGGAGCUCCUGCUGCAUGGUGGGGGUUGGAAAGUUUCGGCGGUUGGGGAUGGACUCGCGGCUUAUCAGCUUGUUGGUGGGGUAGUGGCUUACCAAGGCUUUGACGGGUAGCCGGCCUGAGAGGGUGACCGGCCGUAUUGGGACUGAGAGACGGCCCAGACUCCGACUGGAGGCAGCAGUGGGGAAGAUUGAACAAGGGGUGGAGGCCGGAUGCAGCAACGCCGUGUGCGGGAUGACGGCCUUCGGGUUGUAAACCGCUUUCGCUCAUGACGAAGCUUUGUGUGACGGUAGUGGGUAAAGAAGCACCGGCUAACUACGUG